UACGAAGGGGGCUAGCGUUGCUCGGAAUCACUGGGCGUAAAGGGUGCGUAGGCGGGUCUUAAGUCAGGGGUGAAAUCCUGGAGCUCAACUCCAGAACUGCCUUCGAUACUGGCGAUCUUGAGUCCGGGAGAGGUGAGUGGAACUCCGAGUGUAGAGGUGAAAUUCGUAGAUAUUCGGAAGAACACCAGUGGCGAAGGCGGCUCACUGGCCCCGGUACUGACGCUGAGGUGCGAAAGCGUGGGGAGCAAACAGG
rnacentral:rRNA from 1 species